rnacentral:rRNA from 1 species
UGGGGAAUCUUGCACAAUGGGCGAAAGCCUGAUGCAGCGACGCCGCGUGCGGGAUGAAGGCCUUCGGGUUGUAAACCGCUUUCAGCAGGGACGAGGCCGCAAGGUGACGGUACCUGCAGAAGAAGCCCCGGCUAACUACGUGCCAGCAGCCGCGGUAAUACGUAGGGGGCAAGCGGUAUCCGGAUUCAUUGGGCGUAAAGCGCGCGUAGGCGGUUUGUUAGGUCAGGAGUUAAAUCUGGGGGCUCAACCCCUAUCCGCUCCUGAUACCGGCAGGCUUGAGUCUGGUAGGGGAAGGCGGAAUUCCAAGUGUAGCGGUGAAAUGCGCAGAUAUUUGGAAGAACACCGGUGGCGAAGGCGGCCUUCUGGGCCACGACUGACGCUGAGGCGCGAAAGCUAGGGGAGCGAACAGG